GAUGAACGCUGGCGGCGUGCCUAAUACAUGCAAGUCGAGCGAACGGACGAGAAGCUUGCUUCUCUGAUGUUAGCGGCGGACGGGUGAGUAACACGUGGAUAACCUCCCUAUAAGACUGGGAUAACUUCGGGAAACCGGAGCUAAUACCGGAUGAUAUUUUGAACCGCAUGGUUCAAAAGUGAAAGACGGGCUUGCUGUCACUUAUAGAUGGAUCCGCGCUGCAUUAGCUAGUUGGUAAGGUAACGGCUUACCAAGGCAACGAUGCAUAGCCGACCUGAGAGGGUGAUCGGCCACACUGGAACUGAGACACGGUCCAGACUCCUACGGGAGGCAGCAGUAGGGAAUCUUCCGCAAUGGGCGAAAGCAUGACGGAGCAACGCCGCGUGAGUGAUGAAGGUCUUCGGAUCGUAAAACUCUGUUAUUAGGGAAGAACAUAUGUGUAAGUAACUGUGCACAUCUUGACGGUACCUAAGCAGAAAGCCACGGCUAACUACGUG
rnacentral:rRNA from 1 species